GGGGGGGGGGGGGGGGGGGGGGGGGGGGGGGGGGGGGGGGAGAAAGGAAAAAAAAAAAAAAAAAAAAAAGACAA